CCUACGGGGAGGCAGCAGUGGGGAAUAUUGGACAAUGGGCGCAAGCCUGAUCCAGCCAUACCGCGUGAGUGAAGAAGGCCCUCGGGUUGUAAAGCUCUUUUGUUGGGAAAGAAAUCCUGUUGGCUAAUACCCGGCAGGGAUGACGGUACCCAAAGAAUAAGCACCGGCUAACUUCGUGCCAGCAGCCGCGGUAAUACGAAGGGUGCAAGCGUUACUCGGAAUUACUGGGCGUAAAGCGUGCGUAGGUGGUGGUUUAAGUCUGUUGUGAAAGCCCUGGGCUCAACCUGGGAAUUGCAGUGGAUACUGGAUCACUAGAGUGUGGUAGAGGGUGGCGGAAUUCCCGGUGUAGCAGUGAAAUGCGUAGAGAUCGGGAGGAACAUCCGUGGCGAAGGCGGCCACCUGGGCCAACACUGACACUGAGGCACGAAAGCGUGGGGAGCAAACAGGAUUAGAUACCCUGGUAGUCCACGCCCUAAACGAUGCGAACUGGAUGUUGGGUUCAACUUGGAACCCAGUAUCGAAGCUAACGCGUUAAGUUCGCCGCCUGGGGAGUACGGUCGCAAGACUGAAACUCAAA
rnacentral:rRNA from 1 species